rnacentral:rRNA from 1 species
CCUACGGGUGGCAGCAGUGAGGAAUCUUGGUCAAUGGACGAGAGUCUGAACCAGCCAAGUAGCGUGAAGGAUGACUGCCCUAUGGGUUGUAAACUUCUUUUAUAUGGGAAUAAAUUGAUCCACGUGUGGGAUUUUGUAUGUACCAUAUGAAUAAGGAUCGGCUAACUCCGUGCCAGCAGCCGCGGUAAUACGGAGGAUCCGAGCGUUAUCCGGAUUUAUUGGGUUUAAAGGGAGCGUAGGUGGAUUGUUAAGUCAGUUGUGAAAGUCUGCGGCUCAACCGUAAAAUUGCAGUUGAAACUGGCAGUCUUGAGUACAGUAGAGGUGGGCGGAAUUCGUGGUGUAGCGGUGAAAUGCUUAGAUAUCACGAAGAACUCCGAUUGCGAAGGCAGUUCACUGGACUGCAACUGACACUGAGGCUCGAAAGUGUGGGUAUCAAACAGGAUUAGAUACCCGGGUAGUC